rnacentral:misc_RNA from 1 species
GGGAUCUAUAACGCCUUGGUGGAGAUGGACUACGACCUCUAGCUGGGGAUGCUGGUCUCCGUCUUGGUGGUGUAUCCCCACGACGAUAAGGAGACUCUAUUCGCCGAUGUGAAGGAGAAUCUACACGUUGACGUGAAGGAGAAUCUAGAAGACGUCUAGGGGAUCCACCUCUUCGAGUAACAGGGGAUCUUCUUCGAGGAGAGGCUAGAGGUUUCCGACGGG